rnacentral:rRNA from 1 species
UACGUAGGGUGCGAGCGUUGUCCGGAAUUAUUGGGCGUAAAGAGCUCGUAGGCGGUGUGUCGCGUCGGCCGUGAAAACCUGCAGCUUAACUGUGGGCUUGCGGUCGAUACGGGCAUCACUGGAGUUCGGCAGGGGAGACUGGAAUUCCUGGUGUAGCGGUGAAAUGCGUAGAGAUCAGGAAGAACACCGGUGGCGAAAGCGUUCUGCUAGACCUGUACUGACACUGAGGGACGAAAGCUAGGGGAGCGAAUGGG